UAUUAUUUUAGCGGCGGACGGGUGAGUAACGUGUGGGCAACCUACCUUUUACUGUGGAAUAAUCGUUGGAAACGACGACUAAUACCGCAUACGGUUCUUGGAAGGCAUCUUCUAAGAAAGAAAGGAUUUAUUCGGUAAAAGAUGGGCCCGCAUCUGAUUAGCUAGUUGGUGAGAUAAUAGCCCACCAAGGCAACGAUCAGUAGCCGACCUGAGAGGGUGACCGGCCACAUUGGGACUGAGACACGGCCCAAACUCCUACGGAAGGCAGCAG
rnacentral:rRNA from 1 species